AACGAACGCUGGCGGCAUGCCUAACACAUGCAAGUCGAACGAGACCUUCGGGUCUAGUGGCGCACGGGUGCGUAACGCGUGGGAACCUGCCCUUAGGUUCGGAAUAACUCCCCGACAGGGGUGCUAAUACCGGAUAAUGUCUUCGGACCAAAGAUUUAUCGCCUUUGGAUGUGCCCGCGUUGGAUUAGCUAGUUGGUAGGGUAAAAGCCUACCAAGGCGACGAUCCAUAGCUGGUCUGAGAGGAUGAUCAGCCACACUGGGACUGAGACACGGCCCAGACUCCUACGGGAGGCAGCAGUGGGGAAUAUUGGACAAUGGGCGAAAGCCUGAUCCAGCAAUGCCGCGUGAGUGAUGAAGGCCUUAGGGUUGUAAAGCUCUUUUACCCGGGAUGAUAAUGACAGUACCGGGAGAAUAAGCUCCGGCUAACUCCGUG
rnacentral:rRNA from 1 species